GGGGAUAUAGCUCAGUGGUAGAGCGCUUGCCUAGCAAGCGCAAGGUCCUGGGUUCGGUCCCCAGCUCCG
rnacentral:tRNA from 1 species